rnacentral:rRNA from 1 species
AACGCGAAGAACCUUACCUGGGCUCGAAAUGUUAUGGACCGGAGUAGAAAUAUUCCUUUCCCGCAAGGGACCGUAAUAUAGGUGCUGCAUGGCUGUCGUCAGCUCGUGUCGUGAGAUGUUGGGUUAAGUCCCGCAACGAGCGCAACCCUUAUCUUCAGUUGCUACCAUUUAGUUGAGCACUCUGACGAAACCGCCUCGGAUAACGGGGAGGAAGGUGGGGAUGACGUCAAGUCCUCAUGGCCUUUAUGUCCAGGGCUACACACGUGCUACAAUGGCCGGUACAAACCGUCGCAAACCCGUGAGGGGGAGCUAAUCGGAAAAAGCCGGCCUCAGUUCGGAUUGGAGUCUGCAACUCGACUCCAUGAAGCUGGAAUCGCUAGUAAUCGCGGAUCAGAAUGCCGCGGUGAAUACGUUCCCGGGCCUUGUA